rnacentral:rRNA from 1 species
AGGAACCUACGGGGGGCAGCAGUAGGGAAUCUUCCACAAUGGGCGAAAGCCUGAUGGAGCAACGCCGCGUGGGUGAAGAAGGUCUUCGGAUCGUAAAACCCUGUUGUUAGAGAAGAAAGUGCGUGAGAGUAACUGUUCACGUUUCGACGGUAUCUAACCAGAAAGCCACGGCUAACUACGUGCCAGCAGCCGCGGUAAUACGUAGGUGGCAAGCGUUGUCCGGAUUUACUGGGUGUAAAGGGCGUGUAGCCGGGUUGACAAGUCAGAUGUGAAAUCCUGCGGC